UGCACUUGUGUUUUUGUUUUUGUUUAACUUGUGGACAAAGACUUAAGACAGGUGCUAAAAAAACCACCUCUCUUGCAACCCAGAACUCAUUGUUCAGUAUGAGUUUUGAUACAUAGAAGAAGGAAUAUU